CUGUUUGAACAGCUUGAUAGAAUGCACAAGAUGGUUUGGAUCACAGUUAUGAAGGAAAAGCUGACAGUAUUUCUGAGACAGCAAGAAAAACAUCAUUGCACACCACCAACUAAUAAGACUCCAAAGGAAUAACAAAGAUUAGAGUUUAAAGAAUGGAUUCAAUGCUGGUACUUGGAUAAAGAUAAUCAGGCAUGGACUCUCAUCUCCUAUGGAUCUUCAGCACCUUUAGGUUACAGUUUUAUAUUUCACUAGAAGAGACUCAUAAAUAAACAAAGGACAGUCAGUUACUACAAAAGAGAAGCAUCGGAGAUUAGUGAUAUUUUGUUCAGCAUUACUGCAUCUUACAAAGAUGUAAACUAUUAAAAUAUUGUUUACAUCUAUCAAUUAAUGAAUUUGAUACAUGUACCAGUAAUUAAUAAUUUUGAUGUGGGGUAAACUGAUAAAAUUGAAUGGAAAACAAGCAGAUGACUUGGUAAUGAUGUGUAAAAAACAUCAUUCAUUUAAUUAAUACAUGCAAUUGCAUGCAGUUAAAAUUCGGUCAAAAUUCUUGUGGUGUAUAUUGAAAGGUGUAACCAAGAGGGAAACAUAAAAUGAUUUUCAUAUUAUCAUUAAAAUAAAAGUCAAGUUGUAUAUUAUACAAUUAUUUCUGUUUUUGAGGUCAUUAUAAUGGCUUGCCUAGAUGUAUGCAUUCACCGAUCCUAAAGAAGGAAGUAUUAAUAUUGUCCCUCGAUGGUUGUUGGAUCAAUAUAUUAAUCCCCCCCCCCCCCCCAAAAAAAAAAUAAAUAAAUGCAAUUUCAAUUUUUGUAUAAUACCAUAUGUAUCAUACCCAUAGAGUAUGGUGUGUACAAAACAAGCGUGACCUUUUGAUUUGGCUGUUGGACUUUAAACAAAAAAUUUUAGGCUGAAAAAAAACCUCAAAAAUGGGAUAUGAUACUGUUUUUUUAAAUAUGGAUUAUCUCCCUUUUCAGCUUAAAAUUAGAACAUUUUACUGGUCAUGAAAAUAUUUUGAUUAAAUGAAAAGUAAAAUUGUGUUGUAUUUCAAAUUGGAAAAUUGAGAAAUUUUUUUGAAAUGUCAAUUUAUUCUUACAUGCAUACCCGGUAUAUAUUCAUGGUAUGUGUAU